rnacentral:tRNA from 1 species
UCCCUAAUGGCUCAGUGGUAAAGAAUCUGCCUGCCAAUGCAGGAGACACGGGUUUGAUUCCUGAUAAGAGAA